rnacentral:rRNA from 1 species
GGAAGGGUGGGGAUGACGUCAAGUCCUCAUGGCCCUUAUGGGUAGGGCUUCACACGUAAUACAAUGGUCGGUACAGGAGGGUUGCCAACCCGCGAGGGGGAGCCAAUCCCAGAAAACCGAUCGUAGUCCGGAUUGCAGUCUGCAACUCGACUGCAUGAAGUCGGAAUCGCUAGUAAUCGCGGAUCAGCAUGUCGCGGUGAAUACGUUCCCGGGCCUU